GAUGAACGCUGGCGGCGUGCCUAAUACAUGCAAGUCGAGCGAACGGACGAGAAGCUUGCUUCUCUGAUGUUAGCGGCGGACGGGUGAGUAACACGUGGAUAACCUACCUAUAAGACUGGGAUAACUUCGGGAAACCGGCGCUAAUACCGGAUAAUAUUUUGAACCGCAUGGUUCAAAAGUGAAAGACGGUCUUGCUGUCACUUCUAGCUGGAUCCGCGCUGCAUUAGCUAGUUGGUAAGGUAACGGCUUACCAAGGCAACGAUGCAUAGCCGACCGGAGAGGGUGAUCGGCCACACUGGAACUGAGACACGGUCCAGACUCCUACGGGAGGCAGCAGUAGGGAAUCGUCCGCAAUGGGCGAAAGCCUGACGGAGCAACGCCGCGUGAGUGAUGAAGGUCUUCGGAUCGUAAAACUCUGUUAUUAGGGAAGAACAGAUGUGUAAGGAACUGUGCACAUCUUGACGGUACCUAAUCAGAAAGCCACGGCUAACUACGUG
rnacentral:rRNA from 1 species